rnacentral:lncRNA from 1 species
GAGUUGGGGAGGGGGAACAGUGGAAUUUGAACCCGAGACCUCACUAUUCACAGAUAGGAGGUCGCACCGCUUGGUGUCCCCUUGGGGACACUAAUACGGUUAUUAAUUCAUAGUAUUCAACCAGGGGGCUUAGCCCACUGGCCACCAGGUCCUCACUUAAGUGAAGUGACCCGGGUUCGAUCCCUCUUGGGAGCGAAUUGGAGAUUGGAGAUAUAAGGUGGAUUUGGUGAAUGGGAGAGAUAAGGUGGUUCUUGGAGUGGAUGGGGAACUAACUACUAACAUCUAACAUGACUUUGCCCGAUCAAAAAAAAAAAAAAAAUUCAUAGUAUUCGGGAUGACUCUAUUAAUUAGCCGUAACUUAUUAAUUAAUACAAGAUUUUGAUACUAGUCUUUUUUUAGUACUAGCAGAUUUGCAUUGCACACAAUUCAUGAAUAUUACACUAAUAAAUUGUUGGUAUUGAAUAAUU